ACAAUUGCACUCGUCUGUACCGCCCCCAUGCGGAUGGCGGACAACGAUGGCAAUGCU
rnacentral:pre_miRNA from 1 species